rnacentral:misc_RNA from 1 species
AGGUUAUCGCCUAUGAAUCGGGCGUUGCCGAUACGGUUGACCCGUUUGCGGGAAGUUACGCGAUUGAGGAUCUGACGAAUCAAUUGGAAGCGAAAGCCGUCGCAUACAUUGAAAAAAUUGACGAAAUGGGCGGAAUGCUUCACGCCAUCGAACAAGGUUACGUCCAGCGCGAGAUUCAGGAAGCGGCUUAC